CAGCUUCGGUGGGGAUUAGUGGCGAACGGGUGAGUAACACGUGGGCAAUCUGCCCUUCACUCUGGGACAAGCCCUGGAAACGGGGUCUAAUACCGGAUACCACUACCGCAGGCAUCUGUGGUGGUUGAAAGCUCCGGCGGUGAAGGAUGAGCCCGCGGCCUAUCAGCUUGUUGGUGAGGUAAUGGCUCACCAAGGCGACGACGGGUAGCCGGCCUGAGAGGGCGACCGGCCACACUGGGACUGAGACACGGCCCAGACUCCUACGGGAGGCAGCAGUGGGGAAUAUUGCACAAUGGGCGAAAGCCUGAUGCAGCGACGCCGCGUGAGGGAUGACGGCCUUCGGGUUGUAAACCUCUUUCAGCAGGGAAGAAGCGAAAGUGACGGUACCUGCAGAAGAAGCGCCGGCUAACUACGUGCCAGCAGCCGCGGUAAUACGUAGGGCGCAAGCGUUGUCCGGAAUUAUUGGGCGUAAAGAGCUCGUAGGCGGCUUGUCACGUCGGGUGUGAAAGCCCGGGGCUUAACCCCGGGUCUGCAUUCGAUACGGGCUAGCUAGAGUGUGGUAGGGGAGAUCGGAAUUCCUGGUGUAGCGGUGAAAUGCGCAGAUAUCAGGAGGAACACCGGUGGCGAAGGCGGAUCUCUGG
rnacentral:rRNA from 1 species